CACUCCUACGGGAGGCAGCAGUAGGGAAUCUUCCACAAUGGGUGCAAACCUGAUGGAGCAAUGCCGCGUGAGUGAAGAAGGUCUUCGGAUCGUAAAGCUCUGUUGUUAGAGAAGAACACGUGCUAGGUAACUACUAGCGCCUUGACGGUAUCUAACCAGAAAGUCACGGCUAACUACGUGCCAGCAGCCGCGGUAAUACGUAGGUGACAAGCGUUGUCCGGAUUUAUUGGGCGUAAAGGGAGCGCAGGCGGUCUGUUUAGUCUAAUGUGAAAGCCCACGGCUUAACCGUGGAACGGCAUUGGAAACUGACAGACUUGAAUGUAGAAGAGGAAAAUGGAAUUCCAAGUGUAGCGGUGGAAUGCGUAGAUAUUUGGAGGAACACCAGUGGCGAAGGCGAUUUUCUGGUCUAACAUUGACGCUGAGGCUCGAAAGCGUGGGGAGCGAACAGGAUUAGAAACCCUGGUAGUCCCAUGA
rnacentral:rRNA from 1 species